rnacentral:ncRNA from 1 species
UACUUGGUUGAUCCUGCCAAGGAAGCACACUUAGGUCAUAGAUUAAGCCAUGCAAGUGUUAGUUCAGGUAACGAAACUGCGAAUAGCUCAUUAAUACGCUCAGAAUCUAUUUGGCGGCGACCAACAGGUCUUAAAUGGAUAGCAGCAGCAACUCUGGUGCUAAUACAUGCGAUUGUUUCUCCAGAUGUGAAUUAUGGAGGAAAAGUUGACCUCAUCAGAGGCACGCCAUUCGACUGAGUGACCUAUCAGCUUGUACUUAGGGUCUUUACCUAGGUAGGCUAUCACGGGUAACGGGCGGUUACCGUCGGACUGCCGGAGAAGGCGCCUGAGAGAUAGCGACUAUAUCCACGGGUAGCAGCAGGCGCGAAACUUUCCCACUCGAGACUUUCGGAGGAGGUAAUGACCAGUUCCAUUGGUGCCUUUUGGUACUGUGGAUAGGGGUACGGUUUUCCACCGUACCGAAACCUAGCAGAGGGCCAGUCUGGUGCCAGCAGCUGCGGUAAUUCCAGCUCUGCGAGUUUGCUCCCAUAUUGUUGCAGUUAAAACGCCCGUAGUCUGAAUUGGCCAGCAAUGGUCGUACGUAUUUUUACGUUCACUGUGAACAAAUCAGGACGCUUAGAGUAUGGCCACAUGAAUGACUCAGCGCAGUAUGAAGUCU